rnacentral:rRNA from 1 species
CCUACGGUGGGCUGCAGUGGGGAAUAUUGGACAAUGGGGGGAACCCUGAUCCAGCGACGCCGCGUGAGUGAAGAAGUAUUUCGGUAUGUAAAGCUCUAUCAGCAGGGAAGAAAGAAAUGACGGUACCUGACUAAGAAGCCCCGCCUAACUACGUGCCAGCAGCCGCGGUAAUACGUAGGGGGCAAGCGUUAUCCGGAUUUACUGGGUGUAAAGGGAGCGUAGACGGCGAUGCAAGUCUGAAGUGAAAGGCGGGGGCUCAACCUCCGGACUGCUUUGGAAACUGGAUGGCUGGAGUGCAGGAGAGGUAAGUGGAAUUCCUAGUGUAGCGGUGAAAUGCGUAGAUAUUAGGAAGAACACCAGUGGCGAAGGCGGCUUACUGGACUGUAACUGACGUUGAGGCUCGAAAGCGUGGGGAGCAAACAGGAGUAGAUACCCGAGUAGUC